rnacentral:rRNA from 1 species
UACAGAGGGUGCAAACGUUGUUCGGAAUUACUGGGCGUAAAGCGCGUGUAGGCUGCUCUGCAAGUCGGAUGUGAAAGCCCUGGGCUCAACCUAGGAAGUGCACUCGAAACUGCAGAGCUGGAGUCCUGGAGAGGAAGGCGGAAUUCUCGGUGUAGAGGUGAAAUUCGUAGAUAUCGAGAGGAACACCGGUGGCGAAGGCGGCCUUCUGGACAGUGACUGACGCUGAGACGCGAAAGCGUGGGGAGCAAACAGG